rnacentral:rRNA from 1 species
AAUAGAUACCCCGGUAGUCCACGCUGUAAACGAUGGAUACUAGGUGUGGGAGGUAUCGACCCCUUCCGUGCCGCAGUAAACGCAAUAAGUAUCCCGCCUGGGGAGUACGGCCGCAAGGUUGAAACUCAAAGGAAUUGACGGGGGCCCGCACAAGCAGCGGAGCAUGUGGUUUAAUUCGAAGCAACGCGAAGAACCUUACCAGAGCUUGACAUCUCCUGCAUAGUCCGUAAUGGGAUGAAAUCCUUCGGGACAGGAAGACAGGUGGUGCAUGGUUGUCGUCAGCUCGUGUCGUGAGAUGUUGGGUUAAGUCCCGCAACGAGCGCAACCCUUAUACUUAGUUGCCAGCAGUAAGAUGGGCACUCUAAGUAGACUGCCGGAGACAAUUCGGAGGAAGUGGGGAUGACGUCAAAUCAUCAUGCCCCUUAUGUUCUGGGCUACACACGUGCUACAAUGGGUAUAACAACGGGAANCGAGCCAGUGAUGGUAAGCAGAUCCCUAAAAAGUCUCCAGUUCAGAUUGUUCU